GGGGGGGCGAGCGUUUAUUCGGAAUUAUUGGGCGUAAAGGGCGUGUAGGCGGCUUCGUGUGUCUUCUGUGAAAGCCCUCGGCUCAACCGAGGAACUGCAGGGGAAACUGCGGAGCUCGAGUCCGGGAGAGGAGAGCGGAAUUCCCAGUGUAGCGGUGAAAUGCGUAGAUAUUGGGAGGAACACCCGUGGCGAAGGCGGCUCUCUGGACCGGUACUGACGCUGAGACGCGAAAGCUAGGGGAGCAAACGGGAUUAGAUACCCCGGGUAGUCCUAGCUGUAAACGAUGAGCACUUGGUGUGGCGGGUAUCGACCCCCCUGCCGUGCCGAAGCUAACGCAUUAAGUGCUCCGCCUGGGGAGUACGGCCGCAAGGCUG
rnacentral:rRNA from 1 species